rnacentral:rRNA from 1 species
UACAGAGACCUCAAGCGUUAUCCGGAAUCAUUGGGCGUAAAGCGUCCGACAGGUGGUUUAGAAAGUCAGAAGUGAAAUCUUAAAGCUCAACUUUGAGACUGUCUUUUGAAACUUCUAAACUAGAGGGGCAAAGAGGAAGCUGGAACGAACGGUGUAGUAGUGAAAUGCGUUGAUAUCGUUCGGAACACCAAUAGCGAAGGCAAGCUUCUGGGUGCCACCUGACACUGCUAGGACGAAAGCGUGGGGAGCG